CCAGGUUUUCUAGAUAAAAACAACGACCUUCUCUUUCGGAACCUGAAGGAGACCAUGUGCAACUCUGAGAAUCCUAUCAUAAAUCAGUGCUUCGACAGGACAGAGCUGACGGACAAGAAGAGACCAGAAACGGCAGCAACUCAGUUUAAAAACAGCCUCUCCAAACUCAUGGAAAUCCUGAUGUCCAAAGAACCCUCGUACAUUCGUUGCAUGAAACCUAACGACUCCAAACAGGCUGGUAAGG